CUCAUCACCGGUAAGCAAAUCCUGGUAGACCAACAUGAUUGCUGAGUUUCUCUCGGAUCGAACCACACAGAAGAGAGAAGACGAAGCAGCAGAAACAAACAAGGGCGAGAGCGAGAGAGGGCUCGUGGAGCUGCGGACCAAGCAUAUUUAGAGGCAAGGGUAUGCAGAGAUCCCGGUAAUUGCACGAGACUACUUAAUUACGAAAAAGCACUUCUGUUUUCCAUUAUACCCAAUAAGCCCUCUUCUAGUGGGAUUCUGCCAUCCUAGUUUGAGCCGGACGAGAAUUUGUCGGACAAGGAAUAAAUUCUCAUGGUCAUAACAUAUUUCUGUUUU
rnacentral:misc_RNA from 1 species